rnacentral:snRNA from 1 species
GGAUGUGAGGGCGAUCUGGCUGCGACAUUGAUCGCCAGGGUUGAUUCAGCUGGUCUGGCUAGGCUGGUGUCCCCUUCCUUCCUCACCGCUCCAUGUGCGUCCCUCCCGAAGCUGCACGCUAGGUGGAAGAGGACGGCCUUCCCUGAAUAGAGACAGACCAGUCUUCGGUCGAGGGUAUACGAGUAGCUGCGCUCCCCUGCUAGAACCUUCAAACAAGCUAGAAAGGAAGGAAGGGAGGAAGGAAGGAAGGAAGGAAGGAAGGAAG